GGAGAAUUAGCUCAGCUGGGAGAGCAUCUGCCUUACAAGCAGAGGGUCGGCGGUUCGAGCCCGUCAUUCUCCACCA
rnacentral:tRNA from 20 species